rnacentral:rRNA from 1 species
ACGUUUUAAUCUCUCUUAGUACGAAAGGACCAGGGAGAACAUGCCUCUGCCUUAAAGCGUAAGCAUUAUAAUUAAAAAC